GCAAAAACUGUUCAUUCUAGUUUUUACAGUACAUAAAGGGAAUGCAUUUGAAGUUCAAAGAUGAUCAGCAGUAUAAAUAUCUUCAGUUCUGUCAAAACCUAAACUCUGGAUUGCCCCAGCUUUCGUUCGAAAAGAUGCUUUAGAAGGUAGACUUGUAGAAUGCUAACGCCAAUGAGAGCAGAAGACUCGAGCAAAGCUUUGUAGACGGCUCUUUUGCUCAUUAUUUCAUUCACUAUUGCUUGUCGGUCUGUCUGGGCCUCGAGCCAAUGCUGCUCAAACUGAAUGUUGUAUAAAGCUUCCUCUAGUUGUCCAAUGUGCUCAAACAACGGUUUGAAAUGCUCAUCUUUUGCGUGCUCGUCGUGGUAUGAGAAGUGGGCAGCAUGUAGAUCAAAGUCUAUGGUUUCAUGAUAGGGUGACUUGUUGGUGAAACAGAAACGAUAAACUCCUUCAUGAUGGGCCACAAACUCGUUCUUCUCACUUAUUUUGUCACGAAAAUCAUGAAGCUGCUCCCCGGAAGGUCCCUUCACCACAAGGUCAACACCCUCUUCACUAUAAUGCCAAGAACCUUCUGAUUUGAUAACAACAAACGAAAAAUGGACUGAUUCUCCCAUUUGAACUUUAUGUGAAAAACAUUCUUCUCUAUCAAUCACAAAUCUAAUUCCAUAAACCCCUCCACAUCUCCAUGCCACCACCAAUAUAGUCACCAAGAUCCAAACUUUCAAUGACCCAAUUCUCAUCUUUUCUUGGCGAAAAAAUUGGGAUUUUGGACAAGAGUUUGAAAUUUGUACGAUUUUUGUUGUGUUUGUUUGACUUCCCCUCUACAUCUCCA
rnacentral:misc_RNA from 1 species